GAGUUCAUGCCCUCACGGGUAGAUCUCCCACCCUUGAAUAUAUUACCUUUGUUGCUUUGGCGGGCCGGAGGACGAUGCGGCCCGCCAGAGGACCCUAAACUCUGAUUUAUAGUGUCGUCUGAGAACUAUACAAUAGUUAAAACUUUCAACAACGGAUCUCUUGGUUCU
rnacentral:misc_RNA from 1 species